AGUGUUGGAAGUGGGGCCUGGUUGGAAGUAUUUGGAUUACGGAGGAUGAUCCUUCAUGGUUUAGUGCUUUCCUCCUGACAAUCUGUGUCUAUACCCAUCUGUGGAAGGAAGUGAAGACUUGAGUCUCCUCACUGGCAUGUGGCCUUAACUGGCUGAUGCUCACAGGUAACCCACAGCCCAUGUGCAGGAAACUGCACACACAAAUAGCCCUUCUGCUGCUGAGAGGCUUUUCUGACUAUGUAGAUGGUAAUCUCAGCCAAAUUCCUGCUUGCAGAGUGAUGAGCAUCCCUCCAGGCUCCAGUAGAGGCACUUGACAAGGGCUGCAUAUGGAUAUUACAAAGGGAACAGGAAGUACACCCCAGUAAUUAAUAUUAUAUCUUGUCCCCAAAGACAUUCUGCUCCCUUUAUAUGUUAGUUGACUGAUCAUCUGACUCCUCUGAGAGGUAAUGAUGAAGUUAAUAUAAACACUGAGCUUUAUACCUAAUUUCUACUAUUAAAAGCAGGGGAGGAGGGAGGGCAGAUACACCACACAGACGCAGAAAGCUGACUGUUAAUGCUUAAGAGAAAUGUCAGUGAUAUUUGGUAUGCAGUGGAAAGAGUCAGAAACCUGGUUUUUCUGGAUGGUGAAGGUUGUUGCUGGUAAAUCUGCUCAUGGUGACAGGUAUUACAAAUAACCCGGAGAAAAGGGAAAUUGAAAGAACUCAAAGAGAAAGAGUAGGAAGGUCCUGCAGUAUUCUACUUCUGUUUCAUCCCUACUAGUAUCUUUUACAAAACAAAACCAUGCCAACAAAAGCUCAGUGCUAAUCCAGACCCACAUAGUGUGAAAUAGACUCCAGCUCUUAGUUCACUUACCUUGUUAGUGAGAGAGGAGGUGAGCAAAAGACCAAAGGUAAAUCGGGGAUUAUUCUUAGCACAGUGCAGACAUCUGUCUGUCUUUGCAGGCCAUUGUGAGAUGACAACUGGAAACUCAUGCUUCAAAAAAUGAUUUAAAUUAUACAUACCUCACAUUUUGGCAUUAAAAUAAUAGACAUUCCUAAGGUAAAUGUCUAGUCUAAGCAUAUGGAAAAUCCUGUAAUUCAUGCUUUUAAUCAUUCACUUAUUCAAUGGAUAUUUUCUGCAUACUUUGCUGCUGCAUCAGUCACUGCUGGAUUGUAUAAGUGAUGCCCACUGUUCUCAGAGGGUUUAUAGACUAGACGAUCAAGUAUGUUGGAUAAUACUUGAGAAAAAAAGGAGACUAUACACAGAUGUGAAUUUUGUUGGGCCAAUAAAACAUUAGAGCUAUUGACUGGAGAGAACAAAAAGAUGGAUUAUUUUUUAAAGAACAAAGAUGGAUUUCUUUCUUCCCGGAAUCUCCCAUGUUACACUGUUACAAUUUCUAAAGAGCUAUGUAAGAUUACAGUGGUGAGAGAGCCCAGCCAUAAUAUAGUUCCAUGAAUGCUGUCCCUGGGCUCAAUAUAAUCUGCCCCUAAAGAGUCAAAACAGUCACUAGAAAUCUGAUUAUUCCAUUGUUUGUGGGAGAAAAUUCCAUCCUUUCUUCAUGAUUUAGUUUGGUUAAAAAAUUCUGAUUUAUGACUUACUGGAUUAUCUCCAAAUAUUUCAAGGGGAUCAUGCUGUCUUUUGAUCCUCGAUGGCCAAAUAUUUUUAAUUCUUGUACAAUUAAGAUAAAACAAGACAAGCUUGACUAUGGGGAUGAAGCUAGGCAUUGAAAAAGAAUACAAUUGAGGGGGUGUCACAGCUCCCCCAAAAUGGACAAUCUUUGCAUUCAUAUCGUCUGUAUUAAAGAUUCAAUUUCUUCACCACCUAUCACAAAAAUAAAAAUAUAUUUUGUAUGUCACAAAAGUCAGACCAGCCUCUUUCAACUGUUUCUGUCAGUGGAAAAUGCUUUUAAUGAAAAUAAAAUGAACAUGAUUUCUUCUGAACCACAGAAUUGUUUCAAUGGCUCGUGGUGUCUAAGUAUUAGAAAUAAAGAACUAGAAUUUUAGGAUCUGAGAAUUUCAGGGGGAAAAUACGACCAAGUUUUGGUCUACAUGUGUUCAUCAGGGGUUAUGCUUCACAGUGGAUGCUCUGAGGGGAGAAUGGGGAACAGAUGCAGCUGUGGAGGGGAGCCAGCCUCUGCACAGGGACGCCGUUCCACAUUGCUGGGGCUCGGCGGUGGUGAGUCUGGGAGCUGCACAGCAUUAUGGCGGGUGCAGUGGUUCAGUUGUUAUUAGUGAGUGUCAUUGUGCCCUGUUUGCAAGCACUCAAGUGUUCAGAGGAGGAAUCAAGGGUACCAAAUGGAGAAAAACAAUACACAAGAGUCUAAUAUCUUUAAGUGGGUAAAUUAUCUUUUCCUUGAGAAAGCAGAAAAUGUUAAUGGCUAAGUCUACAAAGACAUUUUAUAAUAGAAGUAAAUAAAGAAACAAAAGAUUGUUCCAGUACUUUUGUGUGCAAUUAAAGCCUGUCAUUCAGUACCCUAAAUUAAUCUAAGUACUCUGACGUAAAUGUGUAUGUCAUAAAAGGUACAUUUUGUCUUGAAUUUUUUCUUUAUAUAAAUAAUUAACAACUGGAUUUUUGUGUGUGUGUGCAGUGAUAUUUGACUUAAUG
rnacentral:lncRNA from 1 species